UUACGGCCGUAUCACAUUGAAACACCAAUUCCCGUACGCUCAUUGAAGUUAAGCUGCGUCGACACUGGUCAGUACGUAGAUGGGUGACCGCUUCAGAAUACCAGGUGCUGUAAG